UUCACAUAUAGGUAUGUACUCACUUACACAUAUAAAAUUUAGCACUUUUGAAAAAAAAAUAAAAAAAUUAUGACAUCAUUUUGGCGCCAUUUUCUAAUAUGUUCACUGCCUAUAUAAACCUGUAUGUAACAGGAUGUACUUUCUGAUCUCCACUUGAUAAAGCCUAAGGGCGAAACGCGUUGUGUUUUUUUUUAAACUAUAUUGUUUUAAAU